CGACUACCGACUCUGCUACUACCGAAUCUGUAGCGCACAGCCGCUUAUUUCAAAUCUUCGCCUGCUCUCAUCAAGAUGAAGCGGAAGACGGGAGGUAGAGUACCUAACGGGAGGAGGACGCGAAGCAUCGAAGCGAAGCAUUGUUUGAUAAGCGAGAGCGAGAUGACGACAUAGAAUAAAGAGACUAACGUCAACAGAAGCGAAAGCCCCCGCCAUUUUCAUGCCAACGAAGCAUACCGAAAGGAGGCUGUUUCAAUAAGUACUGUUUACGUUUGCGGUAGGUCGACGUUUUGGAGAGGUCGAAUAAUAACGGAUACAUACGUUUUAAGGAAUUGAAAGAGUUUUCUUUUGACUUAUUUAUCGUUAAACCGAAGAAGUACUGUUAAUUCGCUUAAAAUUUAAUGUUUUUUCCCCCAUUUUUAUAUUUGUAGGUAACCUCGAAAUUGGUUUCAAUAAGGACCGACUCUGAGCAGAAAAAUGUUAACAUUGGUUCUUACGGAGCUUUCGCUUCUGUUGACGUAGUCUAUUUAUUCUAUGAUGACGAUGAGCACAUUCCCGUGUUUUUUGCUUAUCAAGUUCUUUCGAAACUUCGAGACUUCGAGCCGAGCCGUAAAGGAAAAGGAAAGUUUAAGUGAAGCGUGUGGAUUUGGAGAAUUGAAGUGGAAAGAAUGGACUGAUACCAAGAUGGAGGCAGAGCUGCGUACUAAACUUAAAUCAUGGGGUUUGAGUGAUCAAACACUUUCCAAGUUUGAAGAAAAUGGUAUUAACACAAUGACACAUCUGAGGUUCUCCGUACUUGAGGACGUAGAAUCUCUCCUCUUCAACAGAGGAGAGGUCAUUCUCUACAGGGAGCAUUUGAGGAAAUUCAAGGAAGAGAGCCAACCUCAAGGGCAGCCACAGAGCCAACUAAGCCAACCGAAUCUUUUGAAAACAGCCUCAAAAGCUGGUAAGUGGAUCAGUCACAUAUCAUGCCUCAGUUACUUUCAAAUCCACAUUUUUUAUUAGGAUCUAGAAUGGGAAGAAUAUGGAAACCUCCAGAAUUUUCACUCACUCAAUCUAUGAAAGAGACAUGACCCAGGAUUCAGGGUGUGACAUGUCUGGAGAAUCUGGAAAGCACGGAAAAAGUGCAGCAUUCUAGAAGCUG
rnacentral:lncRNA from 1 species